CUUCUCCAACAGCUCUAUCAACUACCAACUACUCAAAUCUAUGAGCCUGGGGGGGGGGCACCUUCAUUCAAACCACCAUAUCCUCUGUGGCCAGACCAGCAAUCGGUGCCAACUGUGCCCUCCAGGGUGACCCAAAAGCUGGACAUGGCACACUUCAUUCUCAGGAAUUCCCUGUUGUAGAGGAGGCAAGGAUUCCUAGGAAGGUGUCAAUAAAGCCUUGAGGUGCAGAGUGACCGGGAAGGACAGGUGCCUGGUCACCUUCCUGCUUUCAUGGAAAGUCUUCAGACUCCUCACAACCAACAUCGGAAGCUUCGAGAUCUAGAUUUAACUCUGUGGUGUGUCUAAGAUGAUGAGUCCUCAUUGUCAGCACAGCUGGAUUGAAGCACCCAGGAGACACACUUCUGGGGAUGUGUUUGGAGGUGUUUCCAGAAAGGUCUAACUGCUGCAAAGAAGACCU